AACGAACGCUGGCGGCGUGCUUAACACAUGCAAGUCGAACGCGAACGGGUUCUUCGGGACCUUAGUAGAGUGGCGCACGGGUGAGUAACGCGUAAGUUAUCUACCUCGGCAUCUGGAAUAACUCACCGAAAGGUGUGCUAAUACCGGAUACGUUGAGUAAUCAAGAAAGGUGGCUUCUCUUUGAUGCUACCGUGCUGAGAUGAGCUUGGGUACCAUUAGCUAGUUGGUGGGGUAAUGGUCUACCAAGGCGACGAUGGUUAGCGGGUCUGAGAGGAUGAUCCGCCACACUGGAACUGGAACACGGACCAGACUCCUACGGGAGGCAGCAGUGAGGAAUAUUGCGCAAUGGGGGCAACCCUGACGCAGCGACGCCGCGUGGAUGAUGAAGGCCUUCGGGUCGUAAAAUCCUGUCAGGUGGAAAGAAAUGCAUAUGUGCUAAUACCAUGUAUGCUUGACGGUACCACCGAAGGGAGCACCGGCUAACUCCGUGCCAGCAGCCGCAGUAA
rnacentral:rRNA from 1 species